AUGGAGGACGUUGAUGGAGUAGCGACACAAGAAAGGGUUAAGAAGAUCAAUGCAUCAGAGUGGUCAUGGCGCAAGAGACUUUACAAACAGUGCAACAUAGCCCCAGAUGUGAUGGACCAAGAGGAUCGUGACAUAUGCGAGUUCUGCGCUGUAAUAUCUGCAGCCAUUAUGGAGCUGAAACGAGCCACUGCGAACGUGACGCCUGGAGCAGAAUGCUGUUAUAAGCUUGAUAUGGAGUCACUAAUCCGGACGUACCUUGAGCUGAAUGGAAUGGAUCCACUUGCCGAGAAGGAGGUGGUGGAGGCAAUGGAGAAGCAUAUCCUUACGAACGGGACUGACAUCUAUGGAAGGCAUGAUGGUGUCUGCUGGUGUUUCAAAAAUGUUGGGGUGAAAGCAACCUUGAACGGCAACAAGCUUCCGUUUAAGCUGGGGAUUGAUGAUUAUAAGUUUUCUUUUGAGCUGAGUGCUAAGGAGGUCUGGAAGCGUGUCGAAUCGGGAAGAGCUGUUUUGGCGACGGUGUUUGCGGGAGAAGAGUUCGAUGAGCUUCAGGCAGACGAGAUAUAUGCCUGGUUUCCAAAGUAUGAUUGCGAAAAGAAGGAUUGGGUGAAAAAACCUCAGCCCCACCGAGUAGUGCUGAUAGGCAAUGGGGACGCAGGUUCAGACCUGCUGUACCAGUACCAUCCAUUCUGUAAUUCCCAUGGCACAGACUUUGCAGAUGGAGGUGAUGGCUCUGUUUUCCACAGGGUGCUCAGGGGAUUUGGUCAGAUUGACAUAAAGGCGCAUCCGAACCGGCUAAUGGUUCCUCUGUCCCAGAUAAGUGAGCGCCCCCGUUUAAGACAGCGCCGUCCAGAUGUUGCCCCAACUCCCCCGCCUCCCCCACCUCCCCCUCCGUCCAACUUGACACGGUGGCGUGCUGAUGGCCCUGGCCUCACUCCACCAUGCCAGCCGUGGCAGUCUAUGAGAGGUGAUGGCCCUCACCGGGCUUCUCCAAGCGACCGCGUCAACAUCGACAAGGAGACUCCACCGAGCCAGCUGUGUCAGCCUAUGGGACGUGAUGACCCUCGCUGGGCUUCUCCAAGUGACCGCGUCAACACCAACAAGGUGACUCCAUCACGUGAGCCAUGGCGGCCUACGAGAGUUGAUGACUCUCGCUGGGCUUCUCCAAGCGACCGCGUCAACAUCGACAAAGUGGCUCCAUCACGCGAGCCAUGGCUGCCUAAGAGACGUGAUGAUCCACACCGGGCUUCUCCUCCGCGUGACCGCCCCAACAUCGACAAGGCAAGGUGGAAGGACUAG
rnacentral:rRNA from 1 species